AGGACGUCUUGGCUGCCGAACAAUCCGUUUUACCCCUUCUGCACUGCACACAUGCGCGCCCAAGUAUAGAGAGAGCAACAUGGACCAGGUACUCGACGGCAAGCUAGGAACGUGGAGCACAUCUCGCCAUGGAAAGCUAGGUAACCAUCAGCUCUAGCCAGAACUAUGUUCGUGUAUUCUGAGUCCAGCUAAUCACUGCCAUAUUCUCAUGAAAUUUGGUUUGGAUGUGUGUGUUAUCUCUCGGUUCCUUGCAUGUCUGGAUCAAUUGCUCAUAAUAAUACUUGCUACUGACAGUUAUUCAGAUUUGCAUAAUUGCAUCAAUUUUCUCUAUGUGUUUUUAUCCUACAUCACACAAGGUGAGCCCUAUCGUCCUUCAUAAGAGAAUCACACUCACGUUAUGCCCAGGUCGCUCAUCUCAACAUGCAGUACAAAUGAAAGAGUUUGCAAGCUGAACCAUGCUCUCCUCCACGGGAUGUAUUUUGUACUUAGGCUAUAUUUUAAUUUGGUAUUCAUUUACUAUGCACUUCCUCCAUUUUUCUAUUCAAUUGGAUGCACUUCUUCCAAGCAUCCAUGUAUUAUUGGUCAUUUGUGAUUUAUUAAUUUCAAAAAGGAUCAACAACAUGCAUUGAUAUUUUUCUGCCCAAUGUCGAUUAUCAUUGGAACAAUGCUUUGUUGUCUCACAACUGUUAUUGAUCAUAUGUAGCGAAAGCAUCUUUGAACAUAUAUUUUCAGAAGAUUAGCAUAUCCUUAAUUGCUAUGAGUUGUUAUU